AUUUAGUCUGAGAAUGAAGAUGAAAACACAGGUUCAGUCAGUCAGGGCUCCUCCCUCAUCAAGGCUCAACUUCAUGUUCACUGUCCCACUCAGGGAAAUGUGUUCCACAACAAAUGUUCACAAGUUUGACAAAGUACAAAAAAUACAACAGUACCAACAGUAAAUGACUGAUCUAGAACCUGGAAAUCUAGACCUAAAUGUGUCUCUGCUCCGUUUGACUCAGUUUCACUUUCUCUUUGACUGGUGUUGUUGUAAACUCACAUUCAGUGUGUUGAAUGUCAGCAGGUCGAAGCAGCCGUGUCUGAUUUUCCUCUUUUCUCUCCUGUAGUUGGACUUUUUUUGGUCUGAAGGUCAAUCUGAUGGUUUGUUUGUCCGUCUGUGUGUCUGACACUCGUCUGGAACAAACUCUGUUUCCUUGUUCUUGUCAGGAUUCAUGUGUGACCCAUUGAGCCCAGGUGCAGAAUUCUCCGCCAACGUGAGGAAGUCGAUUCCGCUGGACGAGGCGGAUAUUCCACUGGUGACAUGAAGGCUGCUGUCCAUGGUGCUGAAAGCUGGAGCGCCUUUUGGGUGAUUUGUCCCCAAGAAUAUGACACAGUGAAGACAUUGUCCAUGUAUCUGCUCACCAUGUUCAGAUCCUCAUACACCUGUGAAGCUUCAUUCUCCAACAUGAACUCUAUAAAAACACAUGAAGGAACCGACUGUUGAAGCGGUCUGUGGAGGACUGACUGCACAUAGGCCACUGGUGUCACUAAAGUGGUUUACUCCUCACCAGUUGAAGCAGGUUAUGUCUGAGAUAGUGUCUCAUGUGUAAAAGUACCGUCCAUAUGACCACUACUGACCAAUCAGUUCAGUGAGAAGAUCCUGUGGACACAUGCACGAGGCCAGUGUAAAAUGAUUAAACCUUAGCCCUUAUUCCACAAACUUUUUAAAUUUGUCUCACUUAGUUCUCAAUAAUUUUUCUGUGAAGAUGAUGAAGACGAAGGAGAAGAUUCGAACCAGGGCCAUGAGUGGAUUUUAACCCUUAAAGACUUAAAUAUUCACUGGUGACCAAAUACAUCUCCUGAUUUAAUAAGUUUAUUUUCUUUUCAUCCACUAAUCCUAUCAAUACAUGUAAAUAAAUGAGGUAAAAUACA